CGGACGCUGGCCAGAUGGGCGGGCCACGCCUCGCGCAGGCGUUCCAGGCCCCGGGGGGUCAGCACCGCGUUCCAGCCGCGGGCGUCGUCC
rnacentral:tRNA from 1 species